GACCACCCGCCUGCUGGAGGGAUCACGUGGUCCAUGUCCCGGGACUCCAGGGAUCCCGCGAGAGUCGGUGGCGUGCGCUGUUCAGGGGCUGGUGACCUGCGCUUUGGCACUGGAGACCCCGCCCUCCCGUUCCAAAAGCAAUGAAACUGUGACAGAAGAGACAUCAUGCCAGACUGCACCAAAGGGCUGUCACUGAUUGCCUUUCCCCUUCAGGGGACUGACUUUACCUGGAGAGACGGAUUCCUCCUUCACGUUAGAAAGAUCUAGAAGGUGCCCUCACAUGUCUCUGGGCAUGUUUAGACACAACCUGAACCUGUCAGACUAACCCAGUUCAGCCAAACCCACAGCUGAUCUCCACUUUCGUCCUGUUAUCCUCUAACUCGCCACCACGAGGUGAGCAUCUUUGAUCUACAGAGCAUGCUCCCUGCCAUGAUACUCUGCCUGAUCACAGUCCCAAAAGUGACCAUGGACUGAAACCCCUGCACCGAUCCAUGGCAGCUGUACUCGGUUGGUUUCCCUUCCGCCUCAGUGGCCCCUCUGGUUUUGCCUAGCUGCUAACCGCAGGCCUGCUCGGAUGGAAUGGAGUUGCCAGGGAAGCCGGAGCCCCACCUGCUCAUGGUCCCUGUGAAGGCCUGGAGGGCACUUCCUGUUCCAAGUAAGACAGAACAUCGUCCUCUGUAGUAGGAAGCAACGGAGCACCAUUGUGUAAACAGAGACAAGCACCCUCAGCGGGAGAAGCUGCUGCUGCCUGGAGCUUGGACUUCCAGAUUCCAGGACCGUGAGAAAAGAAGUUCUGUUUGUUAUAAACCACCCAGUAUCUCAUAGUCUGUCACAACAGGGACAGGCUGAGAGACAGAUCCCUCACUCAACUGGGCCUGAGCCAGUUCUUGGUCCCUGAACCCAGAAACUGGGGAGAAGCCAGCUCGUGGGAAGGACAGCCCCGGUGACACCACAGCGCUCACCGUUCAGGCUCACAAAUUGAAAAAAGAAGAAAUUCCAGGCGUUUGGAGGCUGUUGGACACAGAUAUGAGUCAACAUUAUAUUCAGAACCUCGUGUGCCGGUAUGCCCUUGGCAAGUGAUAGGACACGGAAGCCAGGUAGUAAAUGGAGCUUCAGCCCCAAUCAAGAUGACAAGGGGCCCUUCAGGCCACUAGAUGCGCCCACACCUGGCCUUCAGAACAACAGGUGGGAUGAAUGGGUGUACUUGAUAGUUGAAAGAACCCUCAUAGUGGUUCCCGGACCGGACCGGACCGGAGGGGAUAACAUAGGAGUAGGUUAUCAUACAGAACCUGCUACCCCCACUAUUCUCUGUCAAGACAGUAAGUUAAAAAUAUAACAAAGGUGUUGGGGUACAGCUCAAUAGUAGAGUGGGUAUAUGGCCCUGGGUUUACUCCCCAGCACACACACACACACACACACACACACACACACACACACACACAAAAUGGAGGAAACACCCUGGGGAAUCAUAGCAGUGUGGGUUGCCCCCAAAGGGAUAAUGGUCACCACUAAAUCCCAGUUUAAUUUACCUACAGGUAUCUACAAAAAACAGAUAGCUGGUGGCAGUGCAAUUCUAGAACUUUCCCAAGUAGUUGCACAGUGCCUCAGGCUUUCCAGAAAUUGAUCACAAAUUUGAACCUGAAUCCUGAUUCCACGUCACACGUGCUCAUUAAUAUUCUUCCAUACUGUCCCCCUCACCCUGCUUUCAUUUAGGGAGGAAUGUCCCGGGUGCCCUUACGACAGUCACAGGCGCGAUGCAGGACAGGGGUAUGAUUUUCCCUAAAACCCGAAGGACAGAACUGUUAGAAAGAUGAAGAGCCAGGCAGUGGAGGGGGAAAAGGGACAUUUAGUGGCCAGGGGAGAGCAUUCCUGGAAAAGAUAACCAAAAUAGGGAAGACGAUGAAUGUUGGAUUAUGGGAUGAAGACAGAAAAACCUGUCCGUGAAACAGAACUCAGUGAUGCACGGUUACCUAGCUUUUCCAGAGGACAGUCAUGGGUCACCACGCUCUCUCCUGCACGGUGGCUGCCUCACACUGUAGGCACUUCUUUUCCUAGUGGCCCAAACCCUCUCUGUUUCUUUCCCCACCUUUAAUCAAACUUUGCUACAGUUUAAAAAAAAAAGAGCUGCAAAGACAGGCACUAUGGCAAAAGUUAUCAGAAGCACUCUGAGAGUCAGCAGCCUGCUUCAGAUACUACACGUAAAGGUGCUUUAUACACUGUGAAUCGCAGAAUGUCAGAGGAAUACCAGGAGGUGAAAAGGAGAGACUUGUUGGCAUCAGCAGGAGCUUGAAUGGAAGGCUUGUUUAAGGCUAGGAUAAGAAUUUGGUCAAGAAUUAGAGAGAUUUGAGAAGGUGAAAUGUGUGAUGGCGCGAGUUAUCAAGGUGAGGUGCAGUAGGUCGGAAUCAAAGGACGGAGGAACACAGGGGAAGGCAAGGAUGCUGGGGCACUCAGGGAUCACACCUUGUGCCACUGUCUGGGCUGCGGGGAGCCAGCCCCAGCCCUCAGCUGCCCUGAGUGUGCCCAUCCUGACUCCAUCUUCCAGCCUUGAAGAGGAGGCAUCUCUGUCCCUAGCUUGUGCCGCGGAACCUCCUGUUUUCCGGUCAGUUACCCCUGAUCUCCAUUCUGUUCCCUGCCCACUGCAGCCUUCCCCACACGCAUGCACCCGCACAUUGAACAUCCCCAUGCAGAUGUUUCACAGUAACCUCAAACUCACGGAACCUCUCCACGAGAUCCCGUGGCCCCUCGUGUCUUAUUUCCGUGAAGACAGCCACCAUCCACCGGGAACACUGCUGGGCUUGCUGGACCCUCUGCCCCCAUUCCCAUGGCCAACCAAGUUCCACACUUUUCCACCUCACCCUUGAAACCACUGUGCAUCCUUUUUUAAAAAAAAAUUUUUUGGUGGUACAAAGAAUUGAAGCGUUUUUAUUUUGAGGCAGGGUCUCACUGUAUAUAGCCUAGGCUGACCUCCAACCUGAGAUCCUCCUGAGAGUUGCUGGGAUGACAGGCCUGUGCCCCACAGUCUGCCACCUCUGCAACCUCAGUUCCUGGCUUCAGUCCGUCCUGCUUGGCAUGCCAUGGGAACAGCAUCACACCACCUGCCUACCCCACUGUUAUGGAUUAAAAACUGGUGGUCAACUUAACACCUGAGUUAAAUCAGCAUGGUGCUGUGCAUCAAUAUACCACCUUAGGACAGUGGCCAGCAUAGAGACAUGGAGAAGAAGAGAGCGAGGCAUUAUGGGUUUCUCUAAGUGUUGCUGUUUUGAGCCACUGGUUCUCCAGGAGGAGCUCGUCCUGAUUAGCUUCCCCAAUAAGAGUUUGACCGUUGUUAUCAGAGAGGCUCGGGAACUGGGUGAAAGUGGCUGUGGUUCACUUUGGGGGAGCUCUGGUCCUUACAUCGAGCAUCGCUUCCUGGCUCCAGAGGGGAAGACAGGUGCUGUUUAAUCUCCAGGAGAAACUCGUCAUGCUGGCUUCCCGGCAUGUACUUGACUGUUCUUAUCAUCAGGGGAGCUCGGGACCUCUGGGUCUCUGAGGAUGACUGUCGUACUUUUCAGGACGGCUCUGGUCCUUAUUUUGAGCCUGACUUCUCAGCUCCAGCAUAGAACCCUCAACCCACCAGCACAGCUCCUUCACCCUGCUGGCAUAGACUUCCUAGCUUCCACUGCUGACCUUUGGGUCUUCUCAGCACAAUUCCUAAAAGAGACUGGUGUGAGUCCUCAUGGGCUCUAGACCUCCAGUUGGACUCGUGGGAGGCACUGUCAUGAGCUCCAGGUUUUCAGCUGGACUCAUGCAGGAUAUUGCUGUGGGAUCCAGGCCCUCGGCUAAAUAUUCUAUCUUUAGUGUUGUGGACAGACUUCCUGCACUUUCUUGUGUUUAACUCUGGGUGACCAUCAUAAAACAGUAUUAUAAA